rnacentral:misc_RNA from 1 species
GGAAGGAUCAUUAACAAAUCAUCAUAGGCACCGCAAGGUGUCCUAUAUACACCCCAAGCCUGUGAAGAGCAGUUAGCUCGGAUCGGCUUUGGUUGCAGCCCUCGGGCUGUAGGCCAGAGUACCGCAAGGUAAUCUGACCACAUAGACGCUUGUAUGUUUGACAGAGUUUAGUUGCAUCAUAAAAAAUACAACUUUUAACAAUGGAUCUCUUGGCUCUUGCAACGAUGAAGAACGCAGUGAAAUGCGAAACGUAAUGCGAUUUGCACGAAUCUGUGAGUCAUCAAGUCUUUGAACGCACCUUGCACCAUAUGAGCAAUCGUAUGGUAUACCUGUUUGAGAAUCGUAAAAACCCCCUCUUACCAGUUUGGUAAGGAUUUGUCGGUCGAGCGCUCUGUGCUCCCCGAUCAAAAGUAGUAGGUCUGGUCAGGCUAGUGGCCUGGGACAUUGUGUGCUAGAGACGUCGCUUCGGCUACUGUCUUCUCACGAUGCGUCCCGGGCUAUUCAAGCUGGCUUGGUUCAGGCCUCUCAGUGCUGCCCUCACGGGUGGUACAACCCCAAUUUUUGAUCUCAAAUCAGGUAAGGCUACCCGCUGAACUUAAGCAUAUCAGUAAGCGGAGGAAAAGAAACUAACAAGGAUUCCCCUAGUAACGGCGAGCGAAGCGGGAAGAGCUCAAAUUUAAAAUCUGGUAGGCCUUGCCUAUCCGAAUUGUAGUUUAAAGAGGCGUUAUCUGGUCUUGGUUCGGUGCUCAAGUCCCUUGGAAUAGGGCGUCACAGAGGGUGAGAACCCCGUCUGGGCACUGGGCCAAGGCCUCUAUGAGGCGCUCUCUACGAGUCGGGUUGUUUGGGAAUGCAGCUCAAAAUGGGUGGUAAAUUUCAUCUAAGGCUAAAUACUGGCAAGAGACCGAUAGCGAACAAGUACCGUGAGGGAAAGAUGAAAAGCACCUUGAAAAGGGAGUUAAAUAGUGCGUGAAAUUGUUAAAAGGGAAACGAUUGGGACCAGUAUUGCUGCUGGCCGCUCAGCGAUUCAUUGGUGCAAGCCUGUGAGUUGUGUAUUCGGUCAGUAGCGAGUCAGCGUCAGUUUGGGCUUCCGGAGAGAGGUUGGAGGAAGAUGGGUUCGGCUUUCGGGUCGUUCUUUUAUAGACUCUGGCUGGAACGGGAGCCUGGACUGAGGUGUGCGACUGCCGUACUCUCGACCUGAUACUUGACCCCAAGGUAGCGGACUACACGUAGACCGACGCCGCAAGGAAAGGAGGUAGGGCCGAGCAGGUAGUUCCAGGAUGCUGACGAAAUGGUCUUAAACGACCCGUCUUGAAACACGGACCAAGGAGUCCAACAUAUAUGCGAGUAUUUGGGUGGCAAACCCGAAUGCGUAAUGAAAGUGAACCGGAUGAGAGCCGUUCCCUCGGGGGCGGUGCAUCAUCGACCGAACCCUGAUGUCUUCUGACGGGUUUGAGUAGGAGCAUAUCUGUUGGGACCCGAAAGGUAGUGAACUAUGCCUGGAUAGGAUGAAGCCAGAGGAAACUCUGGUGGAGGUCCGUAGCCGUUCUGACGUGCAAAUCGAUGGUCAAAUCUGGGUAUAGGGGCGAAAGACUAAUCGAACUACCUAGUAGCUGGUUCCCUC